UACGGGGGGGGCAAGCGUUGUUCGGAAUUACUGGGCGUAAAGGGCUCGUAGGUGGCCAACUAAGUCAGACGUGAAAUCCCUCGGCUUAACCGGGGAACUGCAUCUGAUACUGGAUGGCUUGAGAUUGGGAGAGGGAUGCGGAAUUCCAGGUGUAGCGGUGAAAUGCGUAGAUAUCUGGAGGAACACCGGUGGCGAAGGCGGCAUCCUGGACCAACACUGACACUGAGGAGCGAAAGCCAGGGGAGCAAACAGG
rnacentral:rRNA from 1 species